rnacentral:misc_RNA from 1 species
ACACCUCAACUCUCAUGGCUUGCCAUGAUGAGCUUGGACUCUGGGGGUCUUGCUGGCCUACGGUCAGCUCCUCUCAAAUGAAUCAGCUUGCCAGUGUUUGGUGGCAUCACAGGUGUGAUAACUAUUUACGCUUGUGGUUUUACACCAUAUAACCUUCGGUGACGGAGGUUCGCUGGGGCUCACAAAUGUCUCUCCUCAGCGAGGACAGCUCUUUGAAC